rnacentral:rRNA from 1 species
GACGGAGGGUGCGAGCGUUAUUCGGAUUUAUUGGGCGUAAAGAGCGUGUAGGCGGUUGGUUAAGUCAGAUGUGAAAGCCCGGGGCUCAACCUCGGAAGAGCAUUUGAUACUGGUCAACUUGAGUUCGGGAGAGGGAAGUGGAAUUCCGGGUGUAGAGGUGAAAUUCGUAGAUAUCCGGAGGAACACCGGUGGCGAAGGCGACUUCCUGGACCGAAACUGACGCUGAGACG